rnacentral:SRP_RNA from 15 species
CAGCGCAACGCGGGCCGAGAGCCGCGUCAGGGCCGGCAGGAAGUCGGGGCAGACAAGUGCGCCCUCCAUGGCGGCGCCGACCCCCGAGCCGAGCCGAGCGUG